AGCCAGAAAUGGCUUUAUUGUUCACAAGAUUCAGCAAAGAUAGAAUUGGAUACUCUCCUUCAAGGCUUAGAAGCAGCAGCAGCAGCAGCAGCAGCCAAGGUGUUUCCAAUGUCAAUAACAAAUCGAUAUUUAACAUCACCUUUAGCCAAACGCUCCAUUGCUUGGUUCAGAUAAUCAAUUGGGACAACCUCAAUAUCAGCUGUUAUGUUGUGUUUGGCUGCAAAAUCAAUCAUCUCUUGUGUUUCCUUCAUUCCUCCCAUGGCACUCCCAGCAACAAGCCUCCUUCCUGUUUUGCACUUCUUACCUCUAAUUAAUACUCCAUUAAUGCAGAAUAUUUACUAAGUAAUAUAUAUAUAUGUUAUUAAUUACCGGCAAUCAGAGGAAAUAUAGGUAGCUCGAGAGGCUUUGCUGGAGCACCAACCAAUACAAGCUUCCCUUCAGUCUUCAACAAUCCCAGUAAUGGCAAAAUGGGAUGAACUGCAGCCACUGUAUCUAGGAUUCCAUCAAAUGUUCCCAUUGCCGCCUACACGUCACAAUCACUUGUUAAUUAAAAAAAACUUGCACAUAUUGCUGAAAAAAAAAAGAACGGAGCAUUAUGUACAGAUAGCUACCUGCAUUUGGGCCUGGUCACGGCUAACCAAAAAUGAGUCAGCACCGAGUUGGGUGAGUGCAUCUUGUUGCUUGUCAGGAGAUGUGCUAAUCACAGUGACUUUAGCCCCUAAAGCCUUGGCAAAUUUAACAGCCACAUGACCAAGUCCACCUAGUCCAACAACGCCGACAUGCUUACCAGGUUCUGCUAAUCCAUAAUGCUUCAAGGGACUGUAAACUGUGAUCCCAGCACAAAGGAGAGGAGCCCCAGCAUCAAGUGGCAAAUUUGCUGGGAAAUUAACAAUGUAACGCUGAUCAGCGACCAUGUGGUCUGAGUAGCCUCCGUAAGUGAUUGUCCCAUCAUGGUAAAUGGAAUUGUAAGUGAAUAUCAUUUUCGGACAGUAAUUUUCAAGGUCUCUAUUGCAGUUGUCGCAGGAAUGACAUGCACCCACCAAGCACCCUACGCCAACUUUGUCUCCUACCUUCACCUUCUUCACCUUGCUCCCUACUUCUGUUACUUCCCCUACAAUUUCAUGCCUGCUUAUCGAAUGCAAUUUACUUCAAUUAAAUGGGAUUUUGUUAUUGUAAUAGAUUAAAAUUAAAUUAUAUUCGCACCUAUUUAAUUCAUUAAAAAAUAAAAUAUUUUUAAUAAAUAUUUAUUCUCUAUAUAAAAAUUAAAUUACUGAUCUAAUUUAAAAAAAAAAACCAAUCAACCCUUAUCGGUUGUUUAGACAUUAACUUGCUGAGCCUGAGAUGUGAUACUUUCUUAACCGAAAUAAAAACUGUCCCUCCCUUAAUUUCCUGCUGCAAUUUGAUUUCCCCCUUUUUUGCUAAAUUUUGUCUCUUUGUGGGCCUACACUUUAUCUCUCUUAUCUGCUUCCACUUAAAUUCAUUAAUGUCAUUGCAAUUUUCAAGAAAUUUCAAGCCUCAAUUUAUUUUCCAAAUUAAUUUUACUGAUACCAUUAUAUAUAAAUUUAUUAAUUUUUUUAUUUUCUAAAUUGAACUAAGUAAUGAAAACAAAUUAAUUUGUAUAAAAAAUUAAAGAUAAAUAAACACUUAUUUUAAUUUUUUUUAUUCAAAAAUUCAUAAAAGACAAAGAAGACUGAUAAACAAACGUUAGAUCUACCAAAAAAAAACUCAAUUAAUUUAAUUUAUUUUUAAUAAAUAAAAUUAUUCAUAAUAAAGGGGAUAUAUAAUUAUGAACUCACCCUGGAACCAUUGGGUAAACAGAGAAACCCCAAUCAUUCUUCAAGUUGUGAAGGUCACUAUGGCAAAUUCCACAGUACAAAACCUUAAAUCUUACGUCUUCAUCACCAGUAUCUCUGCAGACAAGAGCAUGAUCAUCAUGAUAAUUAAUAUCCAUCAUCUAGCUAAUUAAAUAAUUAAAAAUUCAAAAGAAAUUAAUUAAAAAAAUCAUAUAAUAACCUUCUUGAGAAAAGGAAGGGAGAAAGAUGACCAGAUUCAUCUCUAGCUGCCCAUCCAAAGGCUUUCACUGGGUGUUCUUCUUCUGGUGCCAUAGCUUUUGCUCUUUGGAAACUCUGUGAGAUGAGAGAGAAAAGAUCUACCCGAAGAAGAGGACUGAAUUGAAGUGGACUGCACACUCAUUGAAGUAGUGCCUAUAUAAUGUUAUUCUCAUGUCCCACGACGAUUGACUAAUAAUUAUAUUCUUAAAAAUUUUGCUAAAAUUAUAUAUUUACUUUAUUAUCCGUUUACAAAAACUUUUAAAAAAAUAAUGUAUAAUUUGAAAUUCAAAUUAAAAUGACAUAGAGCAAUUAAAUUUAAAUUUUACAAUAAAUUUGAACUGAAUCUAAUUUUUUGCUCGUAUAAUAAAAAUUCAAAAUAAGUUUUCAAAAAGAAAAUUUCGAGACGUAUAACUUUUAAACGUAUAAUAAGGUCACAAGUCUCGUUCUAAAAUUUGUUAUAUAAAUUCUAUAGUUUAAAAGUUAAUUUUACAUUUUAAUUAUUUUUUCUUGAUAUUUUAGAUACUUUUAUAAGUUUACAUAUUAAAGUUUUGUUUCUAUUAUAAAUAAUCUCUCUUAAUUAUUUAGAAAUUGACUUUUACAAUUUUUGAAUAAUUUUAAUAAAACUGUUAGUUUUUCAAUUUAUUUUUAUACCAUCUUAACUAAACGAUAUUAAUUAAAACUCUUGACAGACUCUAAUUAAUAUUUUAUCAUAAAAAUUCUUCCAAUUUUUUAUGCAUAUAUCACCUAACUUUCAUCCUCCAUUCUUGCCAUUUUCAUUAUUAUGAUCCAAUUUGAUCAAUUCAAUCGAUUUAAUUAAAAAUAAAAUUAUAAUUCUAUUACAAUCUCUUUUACUUAUAAAUUGUUUGAUGAAAUGCUUUGAAAAUAUAUAAAAUGUUUAUAUAUUUUAAAAAAUUUUGUUUGCUAACUUAUUUUGUUUUGAUCAAAUAAUGGUAAAAAUAUUUGAUUAAUUUAAUUAUAUUGAUAUUGAAAGUUUACUUUUUAUAUUUUUUACUAACACUAAAAUUAUUAUAUUAUUUUUAUUAAUUAAAAAAUAGAUAUUCCAUUUGUAUUAAUAUUUUAAAAUAUCUAUUAAUUAAUAUUUUCACUCGUUUUAAUAGUUAAAUAUUAUAAAUAAAUUUAAAAUGUUUCUGAUAUUUGGAACUAAUUAGAAAUUUUUUUAAAAAUUUAAGAGAUUAAUUAAUAAAUUUUUAAAAAUUAUAAAAAUUAAUUAGUAAAAUAUUUAACAAUAAAAUUAAUAGAAAAGUUAAUUUGUAUAUUUUUAAAAUAUUAAAUAUAUUUUUAAAAAAUGAGUUUUUCAUUACGAUUAAUUUUUUAAAAUGUCAAAGACCAAAUAGUAAUUUUCUUUUUCUUUUAAAUGCAUGCGCCAUCUUAUUUAAAAUUUCAGUGGAAUUGAUUGUUAAAAAUUUAUUAAUUUUUUUCGAAAAAUUUAUUAAUUUUUUAAUAUUUUAAAUUACUUAAUUAAAAUUUAACUCUUUAUAAAUAUUUAAUAUUUAUUUUUUAAAAUUAAUAUUUAUACUUUUAAUCUAUAUAAAUAUAAUAAUAUGUAUUAUUUAGUUUUUAUAAUUCUAAAUAUUUAUAUUAUUUAAUUAAAUUAAAAUAUAUUAAUUAAUACUUUUUUAACAUGAAAAAUAAAAAGUUUGAUUUAAUAAAAUAAAAAGAUAUUUUAAUUAAAUAUUUUAAAAUAAAAAUAAAUGAAUAAUUUUUUUUAAAAAAUUUAAAGACUUCACACUAAUUCUCCUUUUUAUAUUUAAAUGGACAGAUUAAAAUGUGAUUUUGAACAAAAUCAAACCAACCGAUAAUCAUGGGUUGCAACGUCAUAAUUGUGGGGCCCAGAUAAUGCUGUCAGAUAUUGGACAAAGGUGAUGGCUAAAAGCCUGUAAAUUAUAGCCACCAACAUUUAUGCUAAUGGAAAAUUAUUAUUUAGUGAUGUAAUUAAUUUUUUAAUUUAAAAAAUAUAUUAAAAUAUUUUUAAUAUAUUAAAAAAUUUAUUAAUUCAUUUUUUUAUUAAUUUUAAUCAUUAAAUAUUAUAAAAAAUUAAAAUUUUCUUAAUACGAUAAAUUAAUUAAUAAUUUUUUUAAAUAUAUAAGAAUUAAUUAAUAAAUUUUUUAAAAUUAUAAAAAUUAAAGAGUAAAAUAUUUAAAAAAAUUAAUGAAAUAGACUUUUAAAAUAUUAAUAAUGUUUUAAUAUAUUUUUUAAUUUUUAUUUUAAUAUAUUUUUUAAAAUUAAAAUAUAAUUAAAAUUUUUUUUAUAUUAUAGAAAUUGAGUAAUAAUUUUUGUUUAUGCUGAUAAUGGAUGGAUGGAUGGAUGGAUGGAUGGAUGAAUGAGUUAAUUACUGUUGGGAUAACGUGAAAGAAAACUUCUGUUACUUCUCGCCUUUUCAAUAUAUAUGCUCAAAAUGAAAAAUUGUAACUAAUAUAACUAAAGAGAUAAUUGUAAAAUAAAAAAACACCUAAAUUUUAUUAAUUUUAAUAAUUAUAUCUUAUUUUUUAAAAAAAAUAUAUUCUAAAAGUUAAUUUUUUAAUUCUGUUUAAUUUUUUAAUUUGUUUCAAUUUAUUUAUAAUUUUAAAUAAUACAUUUUUGAGAAACUGUAAUUCAUUUUUCAAUAUUUUUCAUCAAUAAUUAUAAAUUUUUAUCUCGUUAUAUAUUAUAAAUAUUAUAAAGAAAAUUAUAAUUUUCAAUUUUCUAAAUAUAAUGUCCGCAUCAUAAUAAAAUAUCAGAAAAUAAGUUACCAACUUUUCAAAUUUUUUCAUUUAAAAUUACAAAUAAAUUGAAUUGAAUUUAAAAAUUAAAUUAAAUUAAAAAAUUAAUUUUGAAUAUAUUUAUUAAGAAAAAGAAUUUAGAGUAUUAUUAUUAUUAAAUUAUAUUAAAAUAUUAAUUUAGAGACCGACUAAAAUUACAAUGUGAUAUUUAUAUAAAAUUAUUCACUUGAGGAAGAGAGUAGCUACGACUCAUUAAUUAUUAUUUAAUUUAUUAAAUUUUCCUUAAAUAUAAAAUUUUUAAACAUCUUUUACGGAAAAAUUGACGUUAUAUACUUUAGAUUAGUAAACUCCAUAGGAUAAAAAAAAACUUUAUUUUAUAUUAGAAUAUCUUUUGAUUAAGGAUUUUAUUUUUUACAUUAUAAAUUAUUAUAAUUAUAUUUAAUUUUAUUUUAUUUUCAAAAUAAUUUUUCAUUAAUUAUUAUUUUUAUAAAUAAAUAUUCAAAACAUCUCUUGAUAUCAUAACUUUAUUUCUAUUAAAAUAGAGUAUAUUUAUUUAAUUUUACUUGUAUUCAUUCAUUUUUAUAUUUAUGAUGUAACUUUUUAUAUUCAUUGUUAUAGUUUAUUAAUUAUUUUUUAUUUUACUUAUCAUUUACCUAUUUUAUACUCCAAUUAUAAAUCAGUUUUAUGUUGUGGGUUUUAUUUACUAAUUCAAUAUUGUUUAGAUUUAGAUAUAUUUAAUAAUCACAUUAAUGAGUAAUUAGUAAAAAAAUAUAACUACACAUUUAAUCGUGAUGUAAUACAAUAAUCGCUAAAAAAAGUUAUGAGCUGUUAUCAUAAGACAAGGUUACGUGAUGAGAGUUUGAUAAGUCAAUAUGUAAUUUUAUCAGUGAAAAGGAAGAUCCAGAUAUCAUAGCACUCGAUUUUUCAUCAAGACUCGGCCUUCCCUGAAGAGAACGAGUAUUCACAUAAAAUUAUCAUUAGCCGGUAUAAUCUGGUAGAUUCUCAUUACGCCUGUAAUUACAGAUCAAUUAGUCGGUGUGUUCUUUAUCAAUUAGUCUACAUCCGCCGGAGUUUUAAAAAAUAUUAUAGUUAACUCUAUCUUUUUAUGGUAUAAAAGUUAAUGAUCAUAAAAAUAAAAGUACGCAAUUUCUACACAAAUACUCUUAAGUUCUAAACAAUUCAUUAUUAUUUUUUUCAGUUUACUGACUUGAUCGUUGGAGUGUCUGCCGUAGAUACUAACCACCUAACGCUCUCUUUCUUGCAGAUUGACUAAUUACAGUAUAGUUUCAUUUCGACCACAUCAUUUAGUUUUACUGUCGGGAAUUCUAUUAAAUUCUUUCUAUUCAGUUGGAUUAAAAUCGGUCUCUUAUCUUCUUUCUCUUAAAAAAAAAACCUUACAUUUUCUUUUUCUUGAAAUGAUGGAUAAUUUACGAGAAUAAGUAGCUACAAUCUAUUAUAUUUUUUAAUAAUAAUUAUUAUUAUACAUAUAUCAUAAUAAGAUAAAAUAAGUAGCUAGUUUUUGGGAGAAAAAAAAAGAGAGCGAAGAAAAUGAGGAGAAAAAAUUGAGAGAAUGUGAAGAAAAUUAGAGGAAAAGAAAAGGAGAGUAGAGAUAAAAUGAGUUAAAGGUUAAGCAAAUGAGAGAAAAUAUUAAAUGCAUGAAGAAAAAAAGAAAGAAAUAAUGAGUGAAAGGAUAAAAAGAAAAGAGAUAUUAAUUAUUUAUGCACAACAAAUUUAGCAACAGAAUCUGUUGGAAAAUCCAUUGCUAAUAAAAAAAUUUUGGUUAUGAAAUUUUAUUUCAAAAAAAUUUUGCUACUAAACAUGCUUAAUUCAUUUUAAUCAAAUUGCUUUUUAAAAUUUAAUAAAUCAUAAAAUAUGAAUUUUACCGAGAUUUAGACACGUGCUUCUAAUCAUUUGACUACGACUUAAAGAACUCAUUUUACUCAAUCGGGCUCUAUUAUGCACGAUCUAUCGAGGAUCAGGUCGAAUAUUAACACCCUUGAUUUAAUUAUUCUAUAAGAUAAGACACCAAUCUCCUUUUCUCUAUAUUUGUACAGAAUUUUAAAUGUAUGUGUGCAAAUAGUUCUGAUAUGGCGUGUAUAUUAAAAGGAGUAUGAGUUUAACCGACUCAAAAUUAAUCGGCCAUUAAUGGAUCGUCUUAAAAACCAACUAAAAAUGCAAUUGUCUUGUUAAAAGAGAUAUAUUGUAGAUGUACUACAUAAUUUACCCUUGUUGAAUGAAAAUAAAGAUCAUAUUUUUCAUCUUUCAACAUUCUAUUUGCAGAUAUGUAACCUUAGCUGCUCCAAACAUAAUACCCAGCUCCCUUUUACUUAUUUACAAUCUUCAUUUGCUAUCCCCUUCUGCUGAGCCCAGUUCAUUGGCUCCUCCAAAAUCAAACCUUCAAAGCCAAGUGUCACAGUAUCAUAACAUCCGGAUCUCAACCUCGUUAAUUAGAAUUAAUAUGCCAAAUGUCCAACAAAUUAUAGGUUCUUAAAUUAUCUCUUCAUUAUUUCAGAACACAUGAAAAAAAGAUUUUCCCAUAAGCAAACAACACUUUGAACAUUUAAACAUCAAAUGCCUCUCAUGAUAAUUAAGCCAGAAAUGUCUUUAUUGUUCACAAGAUUCAGCAAGUGUCGAAAUUGGAUCUUAUUCUUCAAGGCUCAGAAGCAGUAGCAGCAGAAGCCAAGGUGUUUCCAAUAUCAACAACAAAUCGAUAUUUAACAUCACCUUUAGCCAAACGCUCCAUUGCUUGGUUCACAUAAUCAACUGGGAUAACUUCAAUGUCAGCUGUUAUAUUGUGUUGGGCUGCAAAAUCAAUCAUCUCUUGUGUCUCCUUCAUUCCUCCCAUGGCACUCCCAGCAACAAUCUUCCUUCCUGUUUUUCACUUAUCAUCUCUAAUUAAUACUCCAUAUCAACGCAAAAUAUUUAUUAAGUAUACAUAUGCAUUAUUAAUUAAAUUACCAGUAAUCAAAGGAAACACAGGUAGCUCGAGAGGUUUUGCUGGAGCACCAACCAAUACAAGCUUCCCAUCAGUCUUCAACAAUCCAAGUAAUGGCAAAAGGGGAUGAACUGCAGCCACUGUAUCUAGGAUUCCAUCAAAUGUCCCCAUUGCCGCCUACGCGUUGCAGUUUAUAAGUGAAAAAUCCAACUUGAAACCUUAAGUACGUCAGGCAAUUCUUGUUAAAUGAAUUAGUACCGAGUUGAAGAACAUAGCAUUAUGUAUAGAUAAUAACCUGCAUUUGGGCCUG
rnacentral:lncRNA from 1 species